GGGCCGGUAGCUCAGCUUGGUUAGAGCGUUCGGCUGAUAACCGAAAGGUCGAGAGUUCAAAUCUCUCCCGGCCCACCA
rnacentral:tRNA from 1 species